rnacentral:rRNA from 1 species
ACACAUGCAAGUCGAGGGGCAGCAUGGUCUUAGCUUGCUAAGGCCGAUGGCGACCGGCGCACGGGUGAGUAACACGUAUCCAACCUGCCGUCUACUCUUGGACAGCCUUCUGAAAGGAAGAUUAAUACAAGAUGGCAUCAUGAGUCCGCAUGUUCACAUGAUUAAAGGUAUUCCGGUAGACGAUGGGGAUGCGUUCCAUUAGAUAGUAGGCGGGGUAACGGCCCACCUAGUCUUCGAUGGAUAGGGGUUCUGAGAGGAAGGUCCCCCACAUUGGAACUGAGACACGGUCCAAACUCCUACGGGAGGCAGCAGUGAGGAAUAUUGGUCAAUGGGCGAGAGCCUGAACCAGCCAAGUAGCGUGAAGGAUGACUGCCCUAUGGGUUGUAAACUUCUUUUAUAAAGGAAUAAAGUCGGGUAUGCAUACCCGUUUGCAUGUACUUUAUGAAUAAGGAUCGGCUAACUCCGUGCCAGCAGCCGCGGUAAUACGGAGGAUCCGAGCGUUAUCCGGAUUUAUUGGGUUUAAAGGGAGCGUAGAUGGAUGUUUAAGUCAGUUGUGAAAGUUUGCGGCUCAACCGUAAAAUUGCAGUUGAUACUGGAUAUCUUGAGUGCAGUUGAGGCAGGCGGAAUUCGUGGUGUAGCGGUGAAAUGCUUAGAUAUCACGAA